GUGCACUAUAAAGGGACUAGGGCUCUGGUCUAAAGUAGUGCACUAUAUAGGGACUAGGGCUCUGGUCUAAAGUAGUGUACUAUAUAGGGAAUAGGGCCCUGGUCUAAAGUAGUGUACUAUAUAGGGAAUAGGGCCCUGGUCUAAUGUAGUGUACUAUAUAGGGAAUAGGGUGCCAUUUCGAAGACAACCUGUGUUUUUAAUUAGAUCUGAUUAAUAAAGUGUUUCAAAACCUGUGCAAUCUGACAUUUGUUCCUCUCUCUUUGGUAAUGUAUUAUGACUUAUAGCAGGCAUAUGAAGUGUCAUAAGAGAGAGGGCAGCCAUAAUGCAUCCUGUUUCUAUCCCAUUCAUUUGUCCCUCCAUCGUCAUUCAUCCACACACAACAGUAAAGUCAUAUCCCACCAGUAGGAUACAGACCUUCACAGAAACAUCUCUAAUCUGUGAUUGGGCAACAAGGUCAGAAGUCACAUGCAACGUUGUAUCCAUGGCAACCGUAACUGCCAGCUCAUAGAAUCAGCAAAAAGUCAGAACAGAUCAGUGAAUGUGUAUUUGAAAUGUUACUUUGACUAUCAUAUAUUUAUUCAACCAUUAUGGCCUUAUUUCAACAGUAUGUGCAGCAUAUUUUGAUGUACUAUCCAGAGUAUUUAGCUACUGUAUUACUAUUGUACAAUCACAAGAUAUCUAGUAUAUGUUUUGUAGACCUUUGUAUUGAAUCUCUGUGACUAGUUUGUAGUUUAUCAGUACUCAGUCGUUGCCAUAUAAAGACGUGAUACCAGCCCACCUUCAGCCAUUAAAUACUUUACCAGUGUUUCCCCUC